rnacentral:rRNA from 1 species
AGCGAACGCUGGCGGCAGGCCUAACACAUGCAAGUCGAACGGGCGCAGCAAUGCGUCAGUGGCAGACGGGUGAGUAACACGUGGGAACGUACCCUUCGGUUCGGAAUAACUCAGGGAAACUUGAGCUAAUACCGGAUACGUCCGAGAGGAGAAAGAUUUAUCGCCGAAGGAUCGGCCCGCGUCUGAUUAGCUUGUUGGUGAGGUAACGGCUCACCAAGGCGACGAUCAGUAGCUGGUCUGAGAGGAUGAUCAGCCACAUUGGGACUGAGACACGGCCCAAACUCCUACGGGAGGCAGCAGUGGGGAAUAUUGGACAAUGGGCGAAAGCCUGAUCCAGCCAUGCCGCGUGAGUGAUGACGGCCUUAGGGUUGUAAAGCUCUUUCGACGGGGACGAUAAUGACGGUACCCGUAGAAGAAGCCCCGGCUAACUUCGUGCCAGCCGCCGCCGUAAUAC